AUUGAACGCUGGCGGCAGGCCUAACACAUGCAAGUCGAGCGAGCGGCGGACGGGUGAGUAAUGUAUGGGGAUCUGCCCGAUAGCGGGGGAUAACUACUGGAAACGGUGGCUACUACCGCAUACUAUCGGCUGAACCCCUAUGGGAUUAGCUAGUAGGUGGGGUAAAGGCUCACCUAGGCGACGAGCUCUAGCUGGUCUGAGAGGAUGAUCAGCCACACUGGGACUGCGACACGGCCCAGACUCCUACGGGAGGCAGCAGUGGGGAAUAUUGCACAAUGGGCGCCAGCCUGAUGCAGCCAUGCCGCGUGUAUGAAGAAGGCCUUAGGGUUGUAAAGUACUUUCAGCGGGGAGGCGUUACCCGCAGAAGAAGCAACGGCUAACUCCGUGCCAGCAGCCGCGGUAAUUC
rnacentral:rRNA from 1 species